rnacentral:misc_RNA from 1 species
UUUCCGUAGGUGAACCUGCGGAAGGAUCAUUAUUGUGUAACCGAUGUACGAUUGCUGUCGCUGACCCGAAAGGUCGUGCACACCCUAGUGCCCUCACACACAUCCAUCUCACCCCUAUGUGCACCACCGCGCUUGUCACCCUGGUGCUUGUUCGGAGGUCUGCUUACGUUUUCACACACACUUUUUAUGCACUGUAGGAUUUAUUUUUUGUUUUUCCGAUCAUGCUACAAAUACAACUAUCAACAACGGAUCGCUUGGCUCACGUAUGGAUGAAAAACA